rnacentral:rRNA from 1 species
AUUGAACGCUAGCGGGAUGCCUUACACAUGCAAGUCGAACGGCGUGGCGAACGAGGGGGUAAUGUCUCGGAACGUGCCCAGUAGCGGGGGAUAACUCUGCGAAAGCGUAGCUAAUACCGCAUACUAUUGGAGCGGCCGCUAUCGGCUUAGCGAGUUGGUGGGGUAACGGCUCACCAAGGCGACGAACCGUAGCUGGUUUGAGAGGACGACCAGCCACACUGUGACUGAGACACGGCCCAGACUCCUACGGGAGGCAGCAGUGGGGAAUUUUGGACAAUGGGGGAAACCCUUAUCCAGCCAUCCCGCGUGUGCGAUGAAGGCCUUCGGGUUGUAAAGCACUUUUGGCAGGAAAGCGGUACCUGCAGAAGAAGCACCGGCUAACGACGUGCCAGCAGCCGCGGUAAUAC